GACGAACGCCGGCGGCGUGCUUAACACAUGCAAGUCGAACGGAAAGGCCCUGCUUUUGUGGGGUGCUCGAGUGGCGAACGGGUGAGUAACACGUGAGUAACCUGCCCUUGACUUUGGGAUAACUUCAGGAAACUGGGGCUAAUACCGGAUAGGAGCUCCUGCUGCAUGGUGGGGGUUGGAAAGUUUCGGCGGUUGGGGGUGGACUCGCGGCUUAUCAGCUUGUUGGUGGGGUAGUGGCUUACCAAGGCUUUGACGGGUAGCCGGCCUGAGAGGGUGACCGGCCACAUUGGGACUGAGAUACGGCCCAGACUCCUACGGGAGGCAGCAGUGGGGAAUAUUGCACAAUGGGCGGAAGCCUGAUGCAGCAACGCCGCGUGCGGGAUGACGGCCUUCGGGUUGUAAACCGCCUUCGCCUGUGACGAAGCGUGAGUGACGGUAAUGGGUAAAGAAGCACCGGCUAACUACGUG
rnacentral:rRNA from 1 species